rnacentral:rRNA from 1 species
AUACAGAGGGUGCAAGCGUUAAUCGGAAUUACUGGGCGUAAAGGGCGCGUAGGUGGUUGUUUAAGUUAGCUGUGAAAUACACGGGCUCAACCGGUGUAGGUCAGCUAAAACUGGGCAACUAGAGUUUAGGAGAGGGAAGUGGAAUUUCCGGUGUAGCGGUGAAAUGCGUAGAUAUCGGGAAGAAGGCCGGUGGCGAAGGCGGCGCUCUGGACCGAUACUGACGCUGAGGCGCGAAAGCUAGGGGAGCAAACGGGAUUAGAAACCCCGGUAGUCC